rnacentral:lncRNA from 1 species
UGUGUACAGUGAAAUUUAAUUCCUGCAGUCUUACCUGAUAAAACCGGUCUUUGGCCUGUGGCUGAGACGCCAUCUGUACGCAGUGAAAUCUUUCCAGCCGAUGUGGCGAGGGUCAUGCCACAGGGUGCGCACCUGAAGGAAAGGGAGCAGGAAAGGUUGAAACACAGCCCCCCUUCUAGACAUCGAGCCUUCUUACCUGGCCGGGGGUGUUUCCUGUAUGCCACAGUGCGUUCCGCAGGUGCUCGCCAGGGCCGGUGGUGGAGUUCACAACCUUUACGGACAGGC